rnacentral:rRNA from 1 species
UACGUAGGGUGCAAGCGUUAAUCGGAAUUACUGGGCGUAAAGCGUGCGCAGGCGGUUGUGCAAGACAGAUGUGAAAUCCCCGGGCUUAACCUGGGAAUUGCAUUUGUGACUGCACGGCUAGAGUGUGUCAGAGGGGGUAGAAUUCCACGUGUAGCAGUGAAAUGCGUAGAUAUGUGGAGGAAUACCGAUGGCGAAGGCAGCCCCCUGGG